rnacentral:rRNA from 1 species
CCUACGGGAGGCAGCAGUGAGGAAUAUUGGACAAUGGACGAAAGUCUGAUCCAGCUAUGCCGCGUGCAGGAUGACGGCCCUAUGGGUUGUAAACUGCUUUUAUACAGGAAGAAAAACUCCGACGUGUCGGAACUUGACGGUACUGUAAGAAUAAGGAUCGGCUAACUCCGUGCCAGCAGCCGCGGUAAUACGGAGGAUCCAAGCGUUAUCCGGAAUCAUUGGGUUUAAAGGGUCCGUAGGCGGUUUUUUAAGUCAGAGGUGAAAUCCUGCAGCUCAACUGUAGAAUUGCCUUUGAUACUGAAAGACUUGAGUUAUUGUGAAGUGGUUAGAAUGUGUGGUGUAGCGGUGAAAUGCAUAGAUAUGACUCAGAACACCGAUUGCGAAGGCAGCUUACUAAAAUGUAACUGACGCUGAGGGACGAAAGCGUGGGGAGCGAACAGGAUUAGAUACCCUGGUAGUCCACGCCGUAAACGAUCAUCACUCGCUGUUGGCGAUAUACUGUCAGCGGCCAAGCGAAAGUAUUAAGUGAUGCACCUGGGGAGUACGCCGGCAACGGUGAAACUCAAAGGAAUUGACG